GGGAAGAAGAGAAGAGGGGAAAGAAAAGGGAACUAUAGGCGGAGAGUAUGCCUGUUUGAGGGUCAGCCUAAAAAAAUCGACAUCGUUGCUGUUUCACAGUGGCGUUCGUCGGAAAUUGGGUUAUCUUAAAUCUUUGGUUUAAGCGACUUAAAAUUUUCUUUACGAUUCCAUGAACGUUUCUAAGAUUUAUUUCUUUACACGUUUAAGGUAUCGAUUUUUAUUAGGCGUGGCCGUCAUAUCGGAUCAUGUCCAUAAUUUUUCGCACACUGACCUCAGACAGGUAAGAGUACCCGCUGAACUU
rnacentral:misc_RNA from 1 species